rnacentral:rRNA from 1 species
GUCUAUGGCCAUGCCACCCUGAACAAGCCUGAUGUCUGAUCUCGGAAGCUAAACAGGGUUGAGCCUGGUUAGUACUUGGAUGGGAGACCACCUAGGAAGACCAGGUGUAGGCGUAGAUA